CCUACGGGAGGCAGCAGUGAGGAAUAUUGGUCAAUGGACGAGAGUCUGAACCAGCCAAGUAGCGUGAAUGAUGACUGCCCUAUGGGUUGUAAACUUCUUUUAUAUGGGAAUAAAAUGUUCCACGUGUGGGAUUUUGUAUGUACCAUAUGAAUAAGGAUCGGCUAACUCCGUGCCAGCAGCCGCGGUAAUACGGAGGAUCCGAACGUUAUCCGGAUUUAUUGGGUUUAAAGGGAGCGUAGGUGGAUUGUUAAGUCAGUUGUGAAAGUUUGCGGCUCAACCGUAAAAUUGCAGUUGAAACUGGCAGUCUUGAGUACAGUAGAGGUGGGCGGAAUUCGUGGUGUAGCGGUGAAAUGCUUAGAUAUCACGAAGAACUCCGAUUGCGAAGGCAGUUCACUGGACUGCAACUGACACUGAGGCUCGAAAGUGUGGGUAUCAAACAGGAUUAGAUACCCCAGUAGUC
rnacentral:rRNA from 1 species